rnacentral:lncRNA from 1 species
CCUAAAGCACUGGGAUUACAGGCGUGAGCCACCGUGCCCAGCCGAAACUAGAUGUUUUCCAGAUAUGGUCUGUGGCCUGGAGGCACAACAGGGCCCCACAGUGGCCCCAGCAAAGGCAAUCGAGGUGGAAGAGCGGAUGUAUGGGGAGUCACAGAGGUGCUGGCCCCAGGUGCUGUGAUGGUGGCCUGGAAGGCAGAGGGCACCUCCAUCACCCAGGGCAUGGAGACCACAAAGCCCUCCAAAUAG